UCUAGAUGUAUUACUACUGAUUUGCUAAAUAUAUCAGAUUAGUUUACAUUUAGAAUUGUUUCAGGUUCUCUGUGUCCUACUACUUCAGAAUGCUGGGCCGAAAUCUAAGGAUGUCUCUGCAUGUUCCUCUUUUGUAAAAGGGAGAGAUUAAGUAUCAAAUUCUAAACAGUAUUAUCAAGGAUUCGAUUCAGCUUUUAUCUCAGUUAAAGUAAGUAGUCAAACAAGUUCUCCUGGUUCUGUUCACAUUGAUAAUUUGGAUAAGUAAAGCUUUCAUGGCCCAAGACAUUGGUCAAUAAGUGGUUGAAUAUCAAGUGCAAAACUGAUAACUUUCAAGCAGAUGAUGAUGUCCUUUAUCAAGGUAAUUGACCAAUUUUUCACAUGGCUUCAAUGCAAUCUAGGACUCUAGAAUUGGGAUUCUUAGCUUUCAUUUAAAAAUAUUGUUUUUUAUUUACUUUUUAAAUGGCUAGACUAGUUAACUAUACAUAUAUCUUUUCAAUAAUACACCCUCAAUUCUGUUUAGCUUUUGUGAGCAAUGUUCUUUUCUUUUCUUUCUUUGUUUAUUUAAUUUACCCUUAGUUAUGUUGUUUUCCAGCUUCCAUGGUUUUUCCUACCAUUAUUGGUACCCCCAAAAAAAGUUUUUUGUUUUGUUUUGUUGUGUUGUGUUUGAUUGAGUGACAUGAUUAAAUAACAGUGGAAAGAGCACAUUUUUAUUUACUUUAUGGUUUUUCCUUUUGCAUUUGGGAUAUUGGUGCAAAAUUGAUAUAUCUAUCUCAAUUCAUUUUUAAUUUUACAAUUUAGGUUGAUGAUUCUCACUUUACUCUUUGAGACAACGCCGUUUUUUCCUUUUGCACUUGAAAUUAAGCUAAUUGGCAUGAUUUUGUGAAUUUAGCAUUCAGCUUUAAUGAGAAUAAUAGAAAAGUAACAAGUUUGUUUUCUUGUAUUUUUAAUCUUUAAUCUGAUACUUGCAAUUGGAACAUGUGCUUCAUUUGUUGUUCUUGCCAGGCAGACUUUUCAGAAUUCAUUCGGUUCUAUGAUUUUGUUUUCUUCAUGUGUCGUGAGAAUGGUCAAAAGAAUAUUUGUAAGUAGCCCGGUCAUUUCCUUCAAAAUAAUCUUGUAUUGAUUGCGUAUGGUGGUGAAUCAGUAUGCAAAAUCCUUACAUGCUUCUCUUUUUGAAUUAUGAUAAUCUGCAGCUGUAAGCAGAGCAGUAACUGCUUGAAAAUUAGUUCUUGCUGGGAAUGAACAAGGGAAUGAACACUGAUACAAUUGUUAAGGCCAAUAGUUUUUUUGAUGGUGAUGAAGAUCAGCAUGAAAGAUGUGUUUGAGAAGAAUUUGAAGGUGCUUCAGAAUAUUUUUUAGUCAUUAUGCCAAGAUUAGAAGAUUAAUGAUUUUUUGUUUGUUAAGUUCUUUUCGGAUAUAGAGUGCAAACUUUGCAUUUUAAUUGAUAUGUGAUACAAGUUUCAUGUGACUUAAAUUAUCUCUUUUUAA